AUUUCACACCUGGAUGUGCUCACUCAACCAAGAAUAUAGAGAAAGAGCUUCUGCCCUGAGACUCAGAAAAAUAUUCUCCUGUGCUUUGGUUCAGUAUAGAUUUCUAAACCCUGAUCAUUGCUUAAGAGAUAUUCACUGAGGACAGAGUCUUGCUCUAUUGCCCAGGCUGCAACUGGUGUGAUCUCGGCUCACUACAACCUCUGCCUCCUGGGUUCAAGCGAUUCUCCUGCCUCAAGCUCCCAAGUAGCUGGGAUUACAAGCAUGCACCACCAUGCCUGGCUAAUUUUUGUAUUUUUAGUGGAGACGGGGUUUCGCCACAUUGGCCAGGGUGGUCUUGAACUCCUGACCUCAAGUGAUCCACCUGCCUUGGCCUCCCAAAGUGCUGGGAUUAUAAGCAUGAGCCACUGCACCCAGCCUUAUACUGAACUUUCAAUGGGUUCAAUUCCACUAGGAGCAUAAAGGCCACUGCAUAUGAGUUGUGGAAAGAAGAGAUUAGAAGAAGGAAGAACUUGAGAUGAGUUCCUCCCUUCAACAUUCUGUCUCCUCCUACCUAGCAUCUUCUUUCUUUUAGUCUUUCUAGAAUGUCCAUCUGUUUUUGGCCAUUGCGGAGAGAGAAGCUGAGCUUUAAAGGAGUAGGAGCUUCAAAGGCGUAGGAGCUUCAAAAUUCUUGUUUCUUCAUGUUUGAUCACCCUUCUAAACCUGUCUUCUGUUCCUUCUGCUAUUCUUUUUUCUUAGAGCAUAGGAAAGGGGAGCUUUUAAAUUAAUACUUAAAGCAUGGAAAAAAAGAACUUGAGAAGAAAGUAAAACAAGGGAGAUGAGGCUAGUAAAGUAAGGAAAAUGAAGAGGAAGAGGAGGAAGGGUUAGCUUCUAAAUUCCAAGUCAAAUUGAUAUGGAACAGGCAAGCCGCUUGUCUUACUUAAACUUCAGAAAAGGAUCUGCUGAAACUUGAUAGAAAUGGAAAGGGAAAUCCUUGGGGUGGGGAACCUCCAAACAUUAGUAAUGAUAUUGAACAACUCAAAGUAUUGAGGAAAUCUGCAGGCUACAUGCCUGAAGAUUACCCAUGCAGAUAGACCAAAAGGAUUAGAAUUAUCUGUUGAUAUUAGUAAUAUUUAUUGACAUCUAGCUAGUAUUGGUAAUUUUAAGUUUUAGAUUAAUUUCUUUGGUAAUAGCUAUGAUAUAUUUUAUAGACAAGAAUUAUAUCUAUAGGCUUGCUAUCAUAGGCUCUUUUAAUCAGCAUUAAUUUAGUCUACUGAUUUUUAGCACAUUUGAAUCAUUCACUUAUGCUAGGUAACUCAUUGCAAAAUAAAAAGAUGAUUCCUGUAUGUAUGGCAGCUAUACAUUAAGGAGGAGUCUACCAGAAUAUGAAAAAGUCAGCUGACCUAAAUAUUGCUGAGACAAAGGAAAACCCACUCCCUUGGAGGAGCAUGACCUUUUCCUGUAAUUCUUCCCACUGCUGUUGUUGAGCUCCUUGGAUCCUGGCUCCUGGACACCAUCAUCAAGAAGACUUUAUGGAUGGGCUGUCCACCCACUGAGAGAAGAGGAGCAUCAGCUACAGUUUCUCUCUAGAUUGCCUUCUUCAUUUUGAGUAAUGACUGUCAGCAGGGUCAGAUUAAACACAAAACAACUGGACAAUUGCUUGGAGGACUAAACUAUAAGGGCACUAACAUGUCAAUAGUAGGCUAACACAUCCAUGGAAAAUAUAUUUACCAGCUCUUCUCUCAGGGAGGAUUCUGUGUGGGGUUGGAAGUAAUGAUUUGUUAAAUUCCUUAGGGGUAGAAAGUAGGGCAUAAUCAGAAUAUAGAGGAAUAUGCUGUUUGACUUCAGGGUUUCUGUUUUUCUUACUAGGAUAUAUAAAACAGGGACUCUAGCUAGAUUGUUUAUGACCACAGAGGGUAGGCUGAGUGCUCCCAUGAUCUUCCUGCUUGGUUCUUGCCCAUACAGAGGUCAGCCUUUCCUCUAAUAAAGAUUGAACAAGUAGUGGUCUGAGGGA